CAGGCGUGAGCCACUGUGCCCGGCCUUUUUUUCUUGCUUAAUUACACCGCCAGGUGCAUUAUAGUCACGCGAAGCUGGGCUGCGUGACCCUGGGCAGGGUGGGCGGCUCUCACCUGUGGAGAUGCAGCACUGAGGGUCCCCCUCCAGUGUGGUUACUACUACGGGCUGCCUAGAGGCGUGCUCUUCUCAUCCUGGACCCCAGUCACUGCUUAAUUUGCAGGUUUGGAGGAAAGACCCAGUGGAGCCUGGUGGUCUCCGCCUCUGCUUGCAGCCCAGCAGUCUGUCCAGGCAGCUCUUCCCACAGCAUCCCCUGCUGCCGGAGGUGCCUUUCCGUGUGUGGCCCGGAGGACAUUACUCCCACUGCGCUCCUUCACCUUUACUGUGGAAUCCAUGAAAGUUUGUCAGACCCUUGACUGAGG